rnacentral:rRNA from 1 species
UACGUAGGGACCAAGCGUUGUUCGGAUUUACUGGGCGUAAAGGGCGCGUAGGCGGCGCGGUAAGUCACUUGUGAAAUCUCUGAGCUUAACUCAGAACGGCCAAGUGAUACUGCAGUGCUAGAGUGUGGAAGGGGCAAUCGGAAUUCUUGGUGUAGCGGUGGAAAUGCGUAGAUAUCAAGAGGAACACCUGCGGCGAAGGCGGGUUGCUGGGCCGACACUGACGCUGAAGCGCGAAAGCCAGGGGAGCGAACGGG